GAUUCCAUAGUGUAGUGGUUAGUACGUCUGCUUUACACGCUGAAGGUCCUGGGUUUACGCCCCAGUGGAGCCA
rnacentral:tRNA from 1 species